CUCUUCCUCCCACAGACACUAUCAAAGCUCCUGCCGUUCUGUUGCUGUGGUAGACUGCUGUUAUUAUUUUCCUAAGUGCUUGGACUGGGUAACGGUGUUUGAUGAAUCCUACUUGGUGUUCGGUGCAUCUAAUAUCUCACGGUCUUGAACUGCCAAUUUUCAGAGAUUAGCUUCCUGUAGAAAUUUCACACCGUCUUGUGCAUCAUCAGAAGAUGACUCAUAAAAUUUCCUAAAGUGUUCGGCCAUUAUGUUUCUAAUUUGUCUUGUGUCAUGUGUCCAUCCAUUUGUUGUUUUAUGUAUUUGUAUAUAUGUGUUGCGGACUUUUCUUUUAGCUAUUUGUGCCAAUAAUUUCCCUGAUUUGUUACCAUGUCUGUAAAAUUUGUUUGCAGUGUGA